ACAAGUACUCCUUUUCUUUUUGCUGAGCUGAGUGACAGCCUGAAUAGUAUUCUCUAUUAGCUGGGAUUCUUUUUACUUUGGUAUUGUCUUUGCUAAAUGUAAUUUAUGAGAGCUAAGAGGUAUUGUAUCCAGUAACUUCCUUUUCAUCUCCAUGCAGGUCUGUCCACUGAAUGAGAACUCACAACGGGUACACCUACACUGCAAAAAAAAACCAACCACCAACAACCAUCCAGCAGUGAGUCUCAGAGCCCAGGUUGACAGAUUUGUGCUCAUGCUACAGCACUAAAAAUAGCAGUGUAGAAAUUUCCACUCAGGAUCUGAGACCCACCCACCUUGCCAGGUUUCAGAGCUGAGUUUCAGACUGAGUGGGAAGGUCUUUGCUAUUUUUAGCACUUUAGCAUGAGCCCCAUGAGCCUGAGUCUGUAAACCCUGGGCUCUGAGACUUGUUGCCAGGUUCUCUAUUUUUUUUUCCCUUGCAGUGUAGGUGUACCCUUAGACCCCGAUUUUAGAUUUAAGGGUAUUUGUUGUGCAGAACAUGAAUAUGUGGGACUCUAUCCUGCAAGGUGUUGAGUACCCUCAUCUCCUACUUCCUUUUAGGACCUGGCCCUUGGUCUCUGCCCCAAGGAACUUAACAUACUAACUCGGAUUUCUGAGGGUUCAGCAUAUACCUCACUUCAAAAACAGUGCCACCGCAUCUUGGCCACUCUGCAAUAAAGCUGCAUGCACAUUCUGAAUAGCACCACUAACAGGUGAUUAUUAAGGUUUAGAAUGAGAAGUUGUUUUCUCUUUGAAACAAACUAAUUAAAGCUGCAGUUCCUUAUGCCCCAAAUCUUGUUUCCUUUUUUUAUGUAACCAGUUGCCAACCUGUGCUUGUGUCCCACACUGCUAUCUUUUGCUCUCUUACCCCUCUGUGUAAAUUGGGAAUUUUUGUAAAAUGAGGCAACAGAUGGAGAAUAAUUUUAAAUGCAUGAUUUGUAGAUGGGAGCUAUUUCCUUUUGUCAGAUUAUGCUGUAAAUAGUCUAAAUGUAGGGUAGUGCUAGAAUGGUUAGGAUUUUGUUUACAUAACUGAACUGCAUAAGUAAUACUUCUAUAACUAAAGACUUGUUUCUCUUCACUUGCAAUAGUUUGUCUCUUUAAUUGAAUUAUCUUUCAUGUGCUUAAAGCAAGAUACGUCAUCCUGUGUAGACGGACAAUAUGGGCCUGACCCAGUAAGGCUUUAGGGCCAGGUGGGCUAUCUGCCAAGGAGCCGGUGGAUUGUAGGAUAUUGAUUUUGAUCUGUAAAACAUCAGAUGCUCUGGGACCCAUCUCUCUGGGAGACCACUGCUCUCCCUGUGCCAAGCUGCCAGAAUUGGGAUCAGCAAGGAUGCCAGAUCUGGAGCCCACUCAUGAAAGAGAGGGGCAGCUGGCAGGGCAUUCUGUAUUAGGCAUCCAUCUAUCAUUUAAAUUUCCUUCCUCUGAUCCAAAAUAGUGAUAUGCAAUAUCAAGGUAAAAACACCAGUUGCUUUGCUGUGAGGGUCUGGGAGGAUGCUGAUGGGGGGUUGUAGAGCUUAGCUAGGUCUUUAGUUGCUGGUGAUGUUAAUUAUUGAGUAAAGAAAUGUCCCUGGGGACCAUGUUUUUAAAACAUGUCAAGGCACUAGGGCAAAGGAGAGGUGGUGCCCUUUAUGGAAUGUUUAUAAAUCAGUCCAAGUUAUUAUUUUAAUUUAUUUAGUUGAAGUUGGCAGGAGUUGGACCAGGCUCUUAGCACUAUCAGAGUUAAGGAACCUGGAGUCAAAAAGUUUUAUAGACCACAAGACGCUAAAGGGAUAGGACAGAACUCAUAGGAGAUUCUUUAGUUUUCCUUUGCUGUGUCUCUGUGAAGAAAGUAAUUUAUAAUAGUAACCCCUUAACCCUGAGAGGGAAUUUCUGGAUGAAGAGUUCUAAGUGCUUUGUAAAAAGGGGUAAAUAAUAUCUACCUUAUAGCUGGGUGUGCUAAGGCAGGGAGAGAUUAUGUGACUGUCCUCAAAUCACACAGUGAACCAGUGAUGGAGCAGAGAAUAGAACUCAACUCUCCCCAGUUUGGCAUCGUAUCCUCUAACUACACUGCUUCACAGUAGACAUUGCUUCCUCUCUUGCACUGGAAGUGAUAUAUUGCUUCUGGGAGAGUAACUGCAUCUGUUUACACAAACUGGACACAAUUUUAGGUCCCUGAAACAACACAACCAGAGUAAAGAAAUAUAUACAGUAGUGAACUUGUGUGUUAAUGUGUAAUGCCUUAGAAGUUAUACAAGGUAAGACUGUAAUUAGCAGCACAUUCUGUACUAUCAGAUGGUCUCUUUGUUCACUUGGUUGGCAGCUUAAAACCAGCUGUCAGGGUUUGCAGCUUGCUGGGUUGCGCUUACAGCUUUUUUCUGAUCUCCAGUAUAUGAUAAUACAGCUUGUAAAAUCAGCUCCUGUGCACAUGUGCUAACAUGAUAAUAGACAUUGCUAAAUACAUAGCAAUAUAGUCCACACCAAGAGGACCAUGUGGUCUGAAAUGUGGCCAUGCAGCAGCACUAUUUCAGUAGUUUGGGGAGAAAAAUCAUAUUAUGGCGCAUAGCAGAUUGGAAAACAUGGUUUUGGCAUUGUCUCACAUUGUCUUAUUCUUUUCAACCUGGUUUUGUGCAACUUUUAUUAUGAAGAUAGUGGUUUUUUUCAGUUUCAGCCGAGGAAGCUUUUACUAGUGCCAAAGUUGACCAGGGCAGUUCCUAAAAGUGUAUAUAUUGCAAGGUGGCCACAUGCGGAGCUGAUGUAUGUAAGUUCAUUCAGUUUAUUUUACACUUCAGUUGAGAGAUAGUAAAGUACAUGACAGAAUUACUGCAUAGAAACUUUCCAAUUCCAGUUUGUCAUUGGAGGUAGUUUAGGGGUGUAGCUAUAGACGUUCAGCCUAGGUUAUGUUGUCCUUUCAUUCAUGUGCACCCUGAUUCACCAAGAUACUUAAGCAUAUGCCUAACUAAGCGUGUAAGUAGUCCCAUUACAGUCACAUGUUUAAAGUUAGGCUUAAUUGCAAGCCUAGUACAAUAAAUAUGCAGGCCCUUAGCAACAAUCACCCUACCUUGAAGAACUUGGUAUUAAAAGACCUAAGCCACAAAGUUUGGAUCCAUGGCCCAAGCCACUAAACUUCAUCUAAAUUUGGUGGUGAUUGUUUCCAGGAUUUUGGAUCAGUCAGAUCAGAUCCUAAGGUGGGGUCAGCUCUCCUGUUCCGAUCUGGUUCCAAGCUCCCCCAGUGUUAUGCUUGGCUUUGGGGUGUUGGGUCAGGCUCAUCUCUGCAUCUCAUUUGAUCAUCAAGGAACUGCCAAGAUGUCAUUAAUUAAAAAAUAAAUGUCUUAUGACCCUUUAAAAGCUGGGCGUAGAUCUGUUUCUUUACAAAAUUGUGUUUUCUCCUUCUAUGCACUCUGGUAAGGGGUUGUUUUUGUAGGAUUUGUCAGAAGUGCUGAUUGUUUAGGGCGGGGAAGGAAGUAUUUCUUCACACAACACACAGUCAAGCUGUGGAACUCCUUGCCAGAGGAUGUUGUGAUAUCUAAGAUUAUAAUAGGGUUCAAAAAAGAACUGGUUAAAUUCAUGGAGGAUGGG